rnacentral:rRNA from 1 species
AACGAACGCUGGCGGCAUGCCUAACACAUGCAAGUCGAACGAAGGCUUCGGCCUUAGUGGCGCACGGGUGCGUAACGCGUGGGAAUCUGCCCUUGGGUUCGGAAUAACUCAGAGAAAUUUGAGCUAAUACCGGAUGAUGACGUAAGUCCAAAGAUUUAUCGCCCAAGGAUGAGCCCGCGUAAGAUUAGCUAGUUGGUGGGGUAAAGGCCUACCAAGGCGACGAUCUUUAGCUGGUCUGAGAGGAUGAUCAGCCACACUGGGACUGAGACACGGCCCAGACUCCUACGGGAGGCAGCAGUGGGGAAUAUUGGACAAUGGGCGAAAGCCUGAUCCAGCAAUGCCGCGUGAGUGAUGAAGGCCUUAGGGUUGUAAAGCUCUUUUACCAGGGAUGAUAAUGACAGUACCUGGAGAAUAAGCCCCGGCUAACUCCGUGCCAGCAGCCGCGGUAAUGUGUGACUG